rnacentral:rRNA from 1 species
CGGGGGGAGCAAGCGUUGUUCGGAUUUACUGGGCGUAAGGGGCGCGUAGGCGGCCAGCACAAGUCAGUUGUGAAAUCUCCGGGCUUAACUCGGAAAGGUCAACUGAUACUGUGCGGCUAGAGUGCAGAAGGGGCAACUGGAAUUCUCGGUGUAGCGGUGAAAUGCGUAGAUAUCGAGAGGAACACCUGCGGCGAAGGCGGGUUGCUGGGCUGACACUGACGCUGAUGCGCGAAAGCCAGGGGAGCGAACGGGAUUAGAUACCCCGGUAGUCCUGGCCUUAAACGAUGGAUGCUUGGUGUCUGGAGUUUUAUAGUCUCCGGGUGCCGUAGCUAACGCGUUAAGCAUCCCGCCUGGGGAGUACGGUCGCAAGACUG